CGUUCCAACGCGCGCACGUCGCUCGCAGCCGGCCAUUGUCAAACCAAGCGUGAAUCUGUGAAAACCGUAACAUUGCCUAUUAUAUUUAGAACAGUGAACAAGUGUCUGCAAUGACAAAUAGCGAGUGAUAUUAAACAAUGUUCAUUUAUAAGUUUUGAAUCCUGAAAUGUUUCCGUGUUGAAAUUGCACAGGCUGCUCGGUUGAUUUAAAAGGUGGCAAUGUACGCAGCAUCUAGCACGUCUACAGCGACGUCAGUAUCUCGCGAGAUGACAGCCGGGGCGACGGAGAGGCGCGUACGAGUCGUCCGUCUACUGCGACCGCGCAAGGCCGCUCCGGCGUUUGGAUUCUCAUUGCGCGGCGGGCGGGAGUAUGCGACUGGCUUCUUUAUAUCGAAAGUGGACCUCAAUUCGGAGGCCCAUCUCCAAGGGUUAAAGGUCGGCGACCAGGUGGUUAGCGUCAACGGCUAUCGGGUGGAUGACGCGGUGCAUGCUGAGCUGGUUCAUUACAUCACUUCACAGUCUCGGCUCAAAAUUAAAGUUAGACAUGUGGGGAUGAUUCCUGUUAAAGAUAAGGAGCACGAGGCUCUAUCGUGGCAGUUCGUCUCUGAACGAGCGUCUUUGGCUUCAGAUGUGUCCUCAUCGCCGACUCUCUGCCAUAACACAGAACAUUUGACGGACUUGCGACUGUCAAUACUUGUACCACCAAGAGCAAAGCUUGGCUGCGGUAUAUGUAAAGGACCGGAAUGGAAACCAGGAAUUUUUGUUCAAUUUGUUAGAGAAGGCGGUAUCGCGCGAGAAGCCGGUUUACGGCCCGGUGACCAGAUUAUGUCCUGUAAUGGCCAUGAUUUCUCGAACAUAUCUUUCAACGAGGCCAUAUCAGCGAUGAAAGCAAGCGGUCGACUCGAGCUGGUAGUGCGUGAAGGCGCUGGUACAGAGCUGGUUUCGCCUGAAAGCUCCGGAUAUAAUAGCUCUGCGUCAUCCGCUGCUGGUGAGAGGAGCCCUGCGCCACCAGUGCCACUAGCGCCGCCAGCAGCUCUGAGAAGACGACUCGCCAGCGUCGCCGAGGAAGCUGCUGAUAGAGCCGAUAGGCUAACAAUGAAUCGAAUUAAAAGACGAACAUGGGACUGUUUAGAUUUCGACUGGAAAAAUAACGACAUUCAUAAUUUUGACGCACCCUCCGAUAUUGAGCCAGAUUAUGACAGUCCUAGUAUACCAAAUAACCCUCAUACUUAUGAAAGCAAAUCAAACAUUAGAAGUAAAUCUAAAACAGACAUAGAAACAACAAAAAUACCCAGCCAAAUGAAUAGGACCAUCAUAAAUUUAACAGAAGAUGGUGCAACUAUUCAAUGCAGUUACGACAACAACAAUUCUAGAAAAGGUCCAUUUACUACAAGUCAAACGAAUAGAGAGAACGAAAAGACGAUUGUUGUGGAAGUUCAUCACAUGAACACCGUCCCAUGCUCUAAGACGGUUGGUAAUUUCGGUCAAACAAAAAAGGACGUUGAGACGGACGCCACCAGCAUAACGAGUUCGGCUACACUAUCCAGUGCCAUCGCUGAUGAAAUACAGAGGAGGAAAUUAAAUAAGAAACCUGAUAUAGAAAAGGAAAUCAAACAAGUCCCGGUUAAGAAAACGAGCAUCCCAAAGGCAAUAGACAAUGACCAAAAAAAACAUCACGACGCCCUGAUGGAUGAAUUCAAAAAGGUCCAUAGGAAAAUGUUUGCAAAUCUUGAAGGAAAAAGUGAAGUUAAUAAUAGUGAAAAACAAACAGAUAAUAUGGAUCGCCAGUCAACGAUCCCUCUUAGAAAAAUCGAAUCAGUGCCAGCAGAAUUACUCAACAAGGAUAAAGAAACGCCUGAAAAACGGGAGAAGAAGGCUCCGCCACCGCCUCCGCCGAUGCCAAUAGAAAAUGGACACCAUAAUCAUAAUGGAGAACUCAUCACAAACAAUCACAUCAACGACAAUAUGAAAAGUCCAGAAAUAAUGAAAGUGCCGAAUUUAAGAAAAGUUGGUUCUUUAACUCGAAUACCAACACCUGAUUAUAAUAAAUCGGACAGUCCCGUACAGCUUCGAGUGAAGACCGUUAAGGAAGAGAAUGCUGAAGUAGAAUCUUUAGAAUCAUAUAAACUAAAAAAUCCACUUAACAUUCAACCAAAGCCGCCGUCUCAUUACUUCAUCAAAGCACCUAAUGGAACUGCGACCAUGAAGAAACAUGUGCGACCAGUAUCGGUUACAAUAGGGGAAUAUGUCAACAACGUAGGUCGCAAAGAGCCGGCCAAGUUAGACUUCCUAAACGGAGACAAGAUAGACGGGCAUAGAGCAGCUCAUGAUGAACCUAUCACAAGUAGACUUCAAUCCGAAUUGGCUCUCACAUUGUCUAGAUCAAAUUUACGUAAAAAGACUGAAGCUUUGGUUCACGCUUCCUAUAAAAAAAAACUUAUAUUGAACAUAAAUUCGAACGAUGAAAACUUUCACGCUAGAUACGGCAACAACCUUUUACCAUUACCGCCAUCGAUAUCGAUACCAAAAAUUACCAAAAUAAAUAUCUAAUUUAUUUUUUGCUUUAAAUAAAAACUAAAAUCAGCUUAAUAUGACCGAGUGAUGGCGACGGAGGUCGUUAGGAAGCCUAAAGAAAUGAAAGUUCUUUUAAAUGUAUGAACAUUUGUUUAUUAUAGUUAUUGGAAUUAAAGGAAAUGAAAUAAAUCGAAAUAUGUUUUAAAUGUAAUUUUUAUCGAUAAAAUAAGCCAAAUCCUUUGUAACACCAUGUUUUAAUGUGAUUUAUUAAAAAAUAUAUACUUACGGAUAUGUUGUUGUGUGUCAAUGUAUUUAUAAAUAUUAGUGCUAUAUUGUGUAUCUUUUAUAGUAAUUUUAUGCUCUGAGUUACAAUUAAUGCAAAAAUAUUUUGGUAAAAACUGUAUCAUACCAAAGUUCUUUUGUAUUAAAUAGGAACUUUUGAAUUAAAAGAACACUGAAACUGAUAA